GGCCUGAUAGCUCAGUCGGUAGAGCAGAGGAUUGAAAAUCCUCGUGUCGGUGGUUCGAUUCCACCUCGGGCCACCA
rnacentral:tRNA from 1 species